AUUGAACGCUGGCGGCAGGCCUAACACAUGCAAGUCGAACGAGUGGCGGACGGGUGAGUAAUGUCUGGGAAACUGCCUGAUGGAGGGGGAUAACUCCUGGAAACGGUAGCUAAUACCGCAUACCAUCAGAUGUGCCCAGAUGGGGUUCGCUAGUUGCGGGGGUAACGGCUCACCAAGGCGAAGAUCCCUAGCUGGUCUGAGAGGAUGACCAGCCACACUUGAACUGAGACACGGUCCAGACUCCUACGGGAGGCAGCAGUGGGGAAUAUUGCACAAUGGGCGAAAGCCUGAUGCAGCCAUGCCGCGUGUAUGAAGAAGGCCUUCGGGUUGUAAAGUACUUUCAGCGGGGAGGCGUUACCCGCAGAAGAAGCACCGGCUAACUCCGUGCCAGCAGCCGCGGUAAUAC
rnacentral:rRNA from 1 species